UACGUAGGGGGCAAGCGUUGUCCGGAUUUAUUGGGCGUAAAGAGCGUGUAGGCGGCUUUACAGGUCCGUUGUGAAAACUCGAGGCUCAACCUCGAGACGCCGGUGGAAACCGUAAAGCUAGAGUCCGGAAGAGGAGAGUGGAAUUCCUGGUGUAGCGGUGAAAUGCGUAGAUAUCAGGAGGAACACCUGUGGCGAAAGCGGCGCACUGGACCACAACUGACGCUGAGGCGCGAAAGCUAGGGGAGCAAACAGG
rnacentral:rRNA from 1 species